rnacentral:lncRNA from 13 species
AAUAAAAUUUCCCAUGUAACAAUUUGAAACAUAUUUUAUUGUGGCAAAAUACACAUAACAAGAUUCAGCAUCAGAAUUUUUUUUUUUUUUUUUUUUGAGACAGAGUCUCCCUCUGUCACCAGGCCGGAGUACAGUGGCGUGAUCUCAGCUCACGGCAAUCUCCGCCUCCAGGGUUCAAAUCCUGCCUCAGCCUCCCGAGUAGCUGGGAAUACAGGUGGGUGCCAUAACAUGCAACUAAUUUGUUUGUGUUUUUAGUAGAGACAGGAUUUCACCGUGUUGGCCAGGAUGUUCUCAGUCUCCUGGUCUCGUGAUCUGCUGGCCUUGGCCUCCCAAAGUGCUGCGAUUACAGGCUGGAGGCACCGCACCCGGCCAGAAUCAUUUCAAGUAUAGAACUGAAUGGCGUGAAGAUUCCACUCACAUUCUUGUGCAGCCACCAGCACCCUCCACCUCCAGAGCUCUCUCACCUCCCAAACUGAAGCUCUGUCCUCGCUGAUCAGUCACUCCUUGCCCCCUCGUCCCUGGCGCCCACCAUUCUACUUUCUGUGUCUGCAUCUGAGGAUUCCAGGGUGUUCACGAUGUGACUUUGUGAAUCUUUGGGGAUUGAUCAGCUGACCAUGGAGGAAAUUCAUGAAAAGUUCAUGACAAGUGACUCUAGUGAAUCAACAAGUCCCGCUGACCACCUGUGCUGUAUCCUGGCUCAGGGCCUGCUGGAGGGGCUGGGCCGGCCACAUCUUCUACACAGCCCUCGGCCAGGGAUGACGGAAUGGAGGAGGAACACCCAGCUCCCUCUCCCUUUGGCAGGGUAUCCUGUGGCCACCUUGGAGGGGAGAAGCUUCCGGAGGCAGCAGCCGACCUUCCACAAGCUCCCUGUGGCUUCCUGCCCGCCUGGGGAGGAAAACCUCAUUGCAGGGCAGGGCUCAGCUCCGCAGCCAGGGGACAGUCACUCAGCGCCUGCUCCAGGCUGGACCCCCAACCCUGAGGGGCUCAGACAUGGCCUGCUCUCCAGAGACCCCAGGCUGGCAGGCAGCAGCCCCAGCCCUAUGGCUUGGUUCUGGUGCUUGGCAGUGGAGGAACGCGCCCCUCACAUGACCACCUCAGGUGCGAUGCUGAAGAGGAGGUCGUCAUUCCCCCGCCGGACCUCCAGCAGGAGAGGAGAUUCGUUCAGGAUGGCCUCCUGAAGCUCACUCGAGUCUACCAGAGGACGCCCGUUGACCUUGACGAUGAUGUCACCAUCUUGGAUGCCACCUCUGCCAACAGGAGAGACCGGGUCACCACGCCAGCCUCUCCAGGCACGGCCUCCCCAGGCCCGGCCUCCCCAGUCCUGGCCUCCUCAGGCACAGCCUCCCCAGUCCCGGCCUCCCCAGUCCUGGCCUCCCCAGGCACAACCUCCCCAUUCACAGCCUCCCCAGUCCCGGCCUCCCCAGUCCUGGCCUCCCCAGGCAC